AUUGAACGCUGGCGGCAGGCCUAACACAUGCAAGUCGAACGGCAGCACAGAAGAGCUUGCUCUUUGGGUGGCGAGUGGCGGACGGGUGAGUAAUGUCUGGGAAACUGCCCGAUGGAGGGGGAUAACUACUGGAAACGGUAGCUAAUACCGCAUAACGUCGCAAGACCAAAGUGGGGGACCUUCGGGCCUCACACCAUCGGAUGUGCCCAGAUGGGAUUAGCUAGGUAGGUGGGGUAAUGGCUCACCUAGGCGACGAUCCCUAGCUGGUCUGGGAGGAUGACCAGCCACACUGGAACUGAGACACGGUCCAGACUCCUACGGGAGGCAGCAGUGGGGAAUAUUGCACAAUGGGCGCAAGCCUGAUGCAGCCAUGCCGCGUGUAUGAAGAAGGCCUUCGGGUUGUAAAGUACUUUCAGCGGGGAGGAAGGCGGUGAGGUUAAUAACCUUGCCGAUUGACGUUACCCGCAGAAGAAGCACCGGCUAACUACGUGCCAGCCGCCGCGGUAAGAC
rnacentral:rRNA from 1 species